rnacentral:lncRNA from 1 species
CUACGGACUCUAUUAUUUAUUUAAUUGUCUAUUAAUUAAAUAAUAGAUCUGCCAUUUAAUUGCAUUAAUUAUAUAUAAAAGUAUUUAUGUCCAAAGUCGAUUGGACCUAGGGCAUAAUACUUACAAACUCCCACUUGCACUAGAUCCAAUCACUUAUGUAUCAAAUAUCAUAAGUCUACAUGACGAUCAUGUUUAUACUACGACAACUCUUUGUCAGUGGAUCUGCAAUUUUAUUAAAUGUGGAAAUUUGCUCUUCUCUUUACGUCAUUUCUAUGUAUUAUCUCUCUGAUGAGAUUAUACCGUUUUAAUACAUGUUUGGAUCAUUGAUGAGACCUUAGUUCCUUUGUUUUCGUAAUGGCUCUAUUGUUAUCACAAUACUAUUGUAUGUGAUCAACAAUAUUAGGAACUACUCCAAGUUCAUUUAUGAACAUCAUGAUCCAUAUUGCAACUCUUUGCUACUUCUAAAGUAUCCAUGUAUUAGGUUUCUACUAUUGAAUCAAUGGCUGCUUCACGUUUGGAACCUUUCCAACAUACCGCUUAAGAGUAAACCAGUUUCUCCAUAUGAAAUCUUCUCAAGAUUUCAUCUAUGUAAAUUGGGAUGAGUUAAGCAAUCUUCGAGAUCUACCUCUAUAGAUCAAGUUGCUUAUCCCAUAUCGUUUAUGAAUAAAUCCUUUAACAACCAUUAUUUCAACGAUUGAAACAUAGGGAUGUCGUUUUAGGAAUACGAAAAAUGCUCCCACUAUCUUCUUGUAAACACACAAUUCGUCUUCAAAUUUGAUAAAAUCAAACGCUUUGACUUUUUCAUCAAAUCGAAGAUUUCAGCUCCAUAGAGACUUAUCUUAAUCUUUAGUUACGAUAUGCAACUGUUGCAAAUAAAACCCGAAUGGACUUUAGCAAGGUCACAGGAGAAAAGUUUCACCAAGGUCAACUCUUAACCUUUGCUUCUAGCAUUGCUUUGUAUAUAUGGAUAUUCAUAUCCAUAUCGACCUUUUCUUUUGUAAACUAUUUACAAAAGCUUAUGGGCUUUAUUCCAUUAGGAGGCUUGACCAAGGUCCAAACCUUGUUCACUUGCGUCGAGUUUCAUCUCGAGUUUCAUGGCCUCUUACUGUCUCUUUUAAGUCAACGCUUGACUUUAUUUUGUUGCAACUAGCAGGUUCAUUAUCCUGGAUCACUGAUUAAUACUUCGCACCUUCUUGAAGGUCGAAUGGGCCUACUAGAUUCACAUAGAGCUGUCAUGUCCUCAGAAGACUUUACUUCCUGAUUCAAAGUAUGUCCCAUAUCAGAUAUGGGAUCAAACUCAGAUUUAUCUACUUGGUUAACUAUAUCUGUGGACUUUUGAACUCUUUCAAAAAUUCUAUUUUACUCCCACCGUCCUCUCCUAGAGUAAACAUUUUCUCUAAGAAGACGAUAUGUCGUGAGACGAAGACUUUCUUCAUAAUAAUAGAAUUCAUAUUCAAUUGUCUCCUUUGAAUAUCUCACAAAUAUGUAUUUAUCGGAUUUAGUCUCAAACUUAUCCGAUUUAAGGCGCUUCAAUUAAGCGUCAUGACCCCAAUCUUUCAUAUAAGAUAAAUUGGGACUAUUGUCUUUCCAUAACUCGUAUGGAGUUCUGUUAACCAAUUUAGAUGGGACAUGGUUUAGUGUGUUGCACACUGCAAUCAAUGCGUGACCUCAAAACAAUUUUGAGAAAUUUGCAUGGCUUGUUAUUAAUCGCAUUAUAUGUAAUAAUUAACGAUUCCUCCUUUUAGAUACACCACCUUGCUGCAGUGCAUAAUCUAAAUUUUAUCUUUAAGAUACUCUCACUUGAUCGAAUCUUAAUGUGAAGGUAUCUUUACCUCUUUGUUUCUCUAAUUCUAGUGUGAAUCCCUUGAACUUUUCAAGAGUUUCAUGUUUGAGCUUUCAUCAAGUGUACAUGAUCAUUGAUGAAAUGAGAGAAACAUUAUCUGACAUAAAUUGAUACGAAUCCAUAUGCAUCACCAUGCAUUAGACCAAUAAUUAUGCUGAUCUUUCUUCUUUUCAAAUAAAAGAAGAUUUGGUCAAUGUGCCAGACAUGCAUAAUUUGUACUUGUCAAAAUGAAUUAAUCCCAAGUAUACAUCUUUAUGUAACUUUGGAAUUAUAUUUCAUCUAAAUGACAAAGUCUGUCAUGCCAGAUUUUUGGUAAUAAUUAGAUUAUAGUAUUUAUGCCUUAUAAUUUCUAUACUUAUUAUAGAAUCUUUAGUAUUAAAGAAUAUAAAUGUCGUUUUAUAAUUUACCAUAGCUAUUAGGAUCUUUAACAAGAUAAAAAGAACAACAAUUGUCCUUAACAUUAAAAUAGUUCAUGUCUGAACAUGAAAUUCAUUUUAAUGUUCUAGCUAUAGUUGGCAUAAAACGAUAUUUCUCUAAUUCCAAUACUAAACCAAAAGGCAAUGGUAAGAAGUAUAUUCAUACAGGUAAUGUAGCAACCUUUGCUCAUCUCCAACGUGUAUGUCAACUUCUUUCUUUCGCAGUGGUCUACUUCUUUUUAGUUUCUCCAUAUUUGUAUAAAUACGAUAUUUACACCUGGUAUCGUAUACCUAAGAAACUCGCGAAGUAGACGUAAGCCAUACAAUAUUCAUUCCAAUGACCUUUCAUUCUAUAAUGAAACCAAGGGUCAUUAGAUUUGGUAUUUGUCCUUUUGCUUAUACUGUCUUAACC